rnacentral:rRNA from 1 species
UACGUAGGGACCAAGCGUUGUUCGGAUUUACUGGGCGUAAAGGGCGCGUAGGCGGCGUGGUAAGUCACUUGUGAAAUCUCUGAGCUUAACUCAGAACGGCCAAGUGAUACUGCUGUGCUAGAGUGCAGAAGGGGCAAUCGGAAUUCUUGGUGUAGCGGUGAAAUGCGUAGAUAUCAAGAGGAACACCUGAGGUGAAGACGGGUUGCCGGGCUGACACUGACGCUGAUGCGGCGAAAGCCAGGGGAGCAAACGGG